CGAGCCGGGGGCGGGGGCGCGCGGGGAGGCCGGAGGGGCGCGGCGGGCCUGCAGAGGCUGCAAGGGUCGGGGAGGAGCCGGCGGCCCGCAGGCCCGGGGGUGACAGGGAGGGGCUGGGGGGGUCCGGGGCUGAGCCAGCAGGGUCCGCUCCCUCACAGAGGAGGCUGAGCGCCCGCCUUGGAGAGGAAGGCCGUCCUUUGCGAGGCGGGCCGCCUCCGCAAAGACUUGGUCGUUGUCAUCUGGGGCACUCGGCCAAGGAAGGACUUCCUCUGAGCUGUAAUAAUCAACCCGGGUCGGGCGGAAUGUGUAACUAGGAGGCGGUGGCCGCAGGUGUCCAGCGGGAGGCCAGCGCUGCCGGCUGGGAGGCAGGCUGACCUGCCGGGGACGGAGCUUUCACUCCUCACCUACGGGGCCCUCGCCGGUGAGGCUGAGCUGGCGUCCGGGGAAAGCUGGCACAAUCUCAGGAUGUACCUGUUCCGAAGAGUCCCUAGAAAACUGUAGUCAUCGCCCCUCUGCACUCCAGUUUAGGGGAGUGUGGCCUUUGGACAGGAAGCAUCUCUCGGCCCUCAGCCGCGGGUGCAUUUUCUACGGGGAAGGCUUCCAUAAGCCAAGGCACACUGGAGCUACUUCUGAGGGAAAUGAAGGGAGAAGGAUUUCUUCCAAAAUAGAUACUACCUCCUCCUCAGACUGCCUGCCCCACUCCCUCGUCCUGGCAGAGACUCGGCUCCGCGUGCUGUUGGCAGACCCAGGCUGACCCAAGGCUCAGCUGUGCGUGGACUCCCACCAUCUCUGGGGCAGAAGAAAGACAUGGUGCCACGUGAAUAGCUUGUGAGGACCGAUUGGGAGCUGACAGAAUCGCUUUCAUUGACAUUUCACAGGUCAAAGCAAGUGGUGUGGUUACAGCUCAGGCGGAGAGCACAAUGUCAUUCUUGCUCCAGAGGGAGAGAAGAGAGAGGGCUGUGGAGAGACGUUUCCCUGCCCUCCCCUGCCACCUCCGCCCCUGGGACUCUCACCUGUGCAGGAAGCUCUUUCUGCUUUUAUUUUGAACAAUUGCACUGAAGUAUAACUGACAUUUAAACUGCACACUUCAGUGAUUUUUGGUGUCUGUGUAUACCUGUUGUCACUGCUACUUGGAUGUCCCUUUAAGGUGGACAGAGGCAUUUUUUAAUGAUUCUGUUUCAUCUGCUUUUUGCUUAUUAGGAAUAAGUACAUGUGAGAUUAUGUUCGUGGUUGUUUUAGGGUCUCUAGUGGUAGUUUAGUGGUUGUUUUAGGUCUUGGGGCUUCCCUGGUGGCUCAGAUGAUGAAGAAUCUGCCUGUAAUGCAGGAGCCCUGGGUUCGAUCCCUGGGUCGGGAAGAUCCCCUGGAGAAGGGAAUGGCUACCCACCCCAGUAUUCUUGCCUGGAGAAUCCCAUGCACAGAGGAGCCUGGCGGGCAGAGGAGCCUGGCGGGGUACAGUGGGGUCACCAAGCGCCAGGUAUGACUGAGCAACAGUCACUUCACUUUGGGUUCACUUGGUGUUAGAGUCCGCCUGCCAAUACAGGAGACACAGGUUCAGGCCCUGGUCUGGGAGGAUCCCACAUGCCGAGGAGCAGCUGGGCCUGUGUGCAGCGGCUAUCGAGCUUGCGCUCUAGAGCUCGGGAGCCACAGCCAAUGAUGCCAGAGCACCUAAAGCCCCUGCUCUGCAACAGGAGAGGCCACGGCAUUGAGCAGCCCUCAUACCACUGCUGGGGAGUAGCCCCUGCUCGCUGCAACUAGGGAAAAAACCAUGUAACAACAAAGACCCAGCACAGCCAAAAAUAAAAGAUUUUCUGAAAA